AGUGUAGUUUUGUUACCUGGGCUGUGUGACUUGUUUUAUCCACAGGUCGAAUUUGUGAAACGUGAUGUUCCCGUCUUUGAGCUGGAUGUCGGAAGGAUCUCAGAUGCUCUUCACGGAAGUCUGGAUCCGUCCAUUUUAUCCAUGUUUCAGGAGAAGAGGCUGACGGAGAGCAUGGAGAGCGAGGUGUCGCUGCUGACCGCUCUGACCGAGAUGUUGGAGCGCGUGGACGUCGAGACACUGUCGCCAUUCGACACGCUGCCGGACGCACACAUAUUCUCGGCUCAGAAGAGUUCGGAUCACACGAAGCCCAAAGCGCUCAGUAUAGACCAGUACCGUCUCCUCAGACAGAAGAAGCCAGCUCUGGAGGAGAAACCAAUGGACUUUCGAACCAAAUGGCCUUCGCUUCACCAGCUUCCCAACCACACACAUCUCCAUCGCAGUCGCUGGGAAUCUCUCGUCUCUCUCGGAAAGAUACAAACACGGCUGUAGGUCUUUGCAUUGACCCUCCAAACCCGGUUUUAGUGCCCUUGAAACCCACACGACAGCCCAUAAUCUCAGCCUCAGAACCAGACGCUGGUGUUUCUUGUGAAGAGGUUCGAGUCUCUGAGGACGAACCCGAAGCUUCAGGAAGGAGACGGAAGCAGACGACGUGUGGAGCAAUCGGGAUUGAAGCGGCUGAUCUGACCCGUCUUCUGGAGCAGUUCGGGACUCAUGGUAAAUGAUCAAUACAGAUUCCAAUCGAGAUGUGGCUCCAGCAUCCAGGAGCCGAUGCGAGUCGUUCGACUUCGACACGCUGCUGAAACAAGCUCAGAGAGGACGGAAGAUGAGAUCUUCAUGAAUCAGACGCUGAUUUCACCACUGACCAAUUUAGCUGGUUCACAUUCUGGGUUAAGUCCAAGUGAAGCUCUAUCUGGGAAUAAUGGUGAUAUAAAUCCACGUAACAUUAGACAAUCACAUGCUGCACAGAAGAGCUGCGCUUGAACUUGAUCUGGAAAAGCUGUUUUGUUGUUGUUUAUUUUUCUGACUUCACUAAACUGGCUUUGCUUUCAGCUCUCUAUUACUUGACACUUAAAACCCUACUUUUUCCUCAUUAAAUGUUGUACAUAAGAAUGAAAUGGCAUGAAAGGAUGAAAUCAUCAUUAUGAAAGCAAAUAUAACAUGCAUAUAUAUUUAUAUAUGAAAACACAUUCCCUUUGUUUAUAACUGAAUAAAAAGGUUUAUGUGCUAAUGAAUGGUUUAUGUUCUGUUACACUGAACUCAAAACACUGUAAAUUUAAUCAUGUAUUAUAUAUGUCAAAAUAAAAGAUGUUAGAACAAACGUAAUAAUUAAAACAUUUGACAGAAUGGGUUGUAAUUCUAAUAUGUGUAGUGUUUGUGGUUAGUGGGUGGUGUUAAUAUUAAUGUUUGGAUUGUCUAGUUCCACAAUAAUCACCAA